rnacentral:rRNA from 1 species
CCUCAGGUUUUUGGAGGAAGGUUCGUCCGCUCCAAGUUAGGCGGGAGCUAAGGUGAGGCCGAAAGGCGUAGCCGAUGCACAGACGGUAGAGAUUCCGUCCCCACCGAAAGAUUUAAGCGCAGGGACACUUUUAGAAGGUCGGAGCCAGGUGUUGGUUCUGGUAGAGAUCGAGGGAAGAUUAGUACCGAAGUCCGGCUGGAUAAGAGGCGAGAAAAGCUGCGUGUAUAUCUAAGGUGCCCGUACCGCAAACCGACACAGGUAGGUAGGAAGAAGAUUCUAAGGCCAACGGGAGAAGGGUUGUUAAGGAACUCGGCAAAUUGACCCCGUAACUUCGGGAGAAGGGGUGCUCCAGAGAUGGAGCCGCAGAGAAUCGGCCCAAGCAACUGUUUACCAAAAACACAGGUUUGUGCUAAAUCGAAAGAUGACGUAUACGAGCUGACGCCUGCCCGGUGCUGGAAGGUUAAGAGGAGAUGUGCAAGCAUUGAAUCGAAGCCCCAGUGAACGGCGGCCGUAACUAUAACGGUCCUAAGGUAGCGAAAUUCCUUGUCAGGUAAGUUCUGACCCGCAUGAAAGGCGUAAUGAUCUGGGCACUGUCUCAACAGCCCGCCCGGCGAAAUUGUAGUACCGGUGAAGAUGCCGGUUACCCGCGACAAGACGGAAAGACCCCAUGGAGCUUUACUGUAGCCUAAUAUUGGGUUUCGGUGUUGCAUGCACAGGAUAGAUGGGACGCUAGGAAGUGAGUGCUUUGGCAUUCAUGGAGCGGCCGUUGGGAUACCAUCCUUGCGACAUUGGAAUUCUAACCUGCGCCUUUGAAUCAAGGCGGGGGACAUUGUUAGGUGGGCAGUUUGACUGGGGCGGUCGCCUCCUAAAGAGUAACGGAGGCGUUCAAAGGUUCGCUCAGCUUGAACGGAAAUCAAGCAAAAGAGUGCAAACGCAGAAGCGAGCCUAACUGCGAGACUGACGGGUCGAGCAGUAACGAAAGUUGGAGUUAGUGAUCCGGUGGUAUGUGAGUGGAAAUGCCAUCGCUCAACGGAUAAAA